CACACGACUCUCGGCAACGGAUAUCUUGGCUCUCGCAUCGAUGAAGAACGUAGCGAAAUGCGAUACCUGGUGUGAAUUGCAGAAUCCCGUGAACCAUCGAGUCUUUGAACGCAAGUUGCGCCCGAGGCCAUUCGGCCGAGGGCACGCCUGCCUGGGCGUCACGC
rnacentral:rRNA from 1 species